ensembl:snRNA U6 U6 spliceosomal RNA
GUGCUCGCUUUGGCAGCACAUACGCUAAAAUUGGAACAAUACAGAGAUCAACAUGGCCCCUGCGCAAGGAUGACACACAAAUUUGUGAAGUGUUCCAUAUUUUU